UCUCUUCUCCUCCUCUCCCCUUCCAGAUCCGCCCUCGCCGCCACCCGCCCCUCCCCUCGCUGUCCUCGAUCCAGAUCGCUCCUCCCUCCCUCCCCUCCGGCAUUACGACGCCCCGAAGCGUGCGUGCUCGCCGCGUGCUCGACGUGAGGAUAGCGCUCCCUACCUCUUCUCCACCUCGCGCCUCGCAGUCGUACUACCAACCAACCCCGGCCGACGCAACUCCAGUCACUCCCCGCCUCCCGCGAUGGUCGCCACGGCGAAGAUCCUGCAGCGGCAGCUCUUCAUCGAAUGGCGCUGCUGAACCAUCCCACGAGGGAGCUCCAGCAAGGCCGCUCGGGUGGUGCGUUGGACGGUCGCCGACCUCGCGUAACCCCGGUGCCGCACGGCUCCGAGCACCCGGCGACCUCGGCAUACCGCAGGAGCGGACCCGACCCACAGGCAAAGGGUGAUCGAGGAGAUGGGAAAGGCCUGGGCGAGUGGACCGGUCUGAUCGGUUAGGGUGGCGACCAAGGAGCUGAGGAUGUCGAGGAGGGCGGUGAACCCCGGCGGUCAUGGAAAGGCGGCUGGACAUGUGUAGGUGGAACAAAGAAACAAUGAGUUUCUGUGCGACAACUUUGAGGAUUGGAUUAUAACGUGAAUUGGUUUCUGAUACUCUGUCGCUCAAGUGUUAAUUCUAGUCUUGUUUGCUCACCAUUCGAUGACUUUUGCUAUUAUUAUAGUAGGGGCAAUCAGCAUGACUUCUUAUGUGUUUCUUUUGCUAUUAUUAUAGUAGGAGGUUGCUAUUUUUUAUUAGAACAAACAUGAAAUUGGUUGCUUUAUUAGGCAACUCAUUUUUUGUGCUAUUUCCUGGAGCUUCGAGUGAAGAGUAUGCUUGCAAUGCCUGCCUUUUUUGUGUGCUACUUUUUUGUGUGCUAUUCCCUAGUUUGGGAUUUUCUCCCAAUUCCUAGGCAUCUAGUUCCUAUACUAAUAUACUUGUACUGCUCAUGCUGCUGUUGCUAGUGGUCUUGUAGCACAGCACAUCACUUCUAGUUCCUAUACUAAUAUACUUGUACUGCUCA